rnacentral:rRNA from 1 species
GAGUUUGAUCAUGGCUCAGAUUGAACGCUGGCGGCAUGCCUUACACAUGCAAGUCGAACGGCAGCACGGGAGCUUGCUCCUGGUGGCGAGUGGCGAACGGGUGAGUAAUGCAUCGGAACGUAUCCUGGAGUGGGGGACAACGUUUCGAAAGGAACGCUAAUACCGCAUACGUCCUACGGGAGAAAGCAGGGGACCUUCGGGCCUUGCGCUAUCAGAUGAGCCUAGGUCGGAUUAGCUAGUUGGUGGGGUAAUGGCUCACCAAGGCGACGAUCCGUAACUGGUCUGAGAGGAUGAUCAGUCACACUGGAACUGAGACACGGUCCAGACUCCUACGGGAGGCAGCAGUGGGGAAUAUUGGACAAUGGGCGAAAGCCUGAUCCAGCCAUGCCGCGUGUGUGAAGAAGGUCUUCGGAUUGUAAAGCACUUUAAGUUGGGAGGAAGGGCAGUAAGUUAAUACCUUGCUGUUUGACGUUACCGACAGAAUAAGCACCGGCUAACUCUGUGCCAG